rnacentral:rRNA from 1 species
CAGUCGCCGCGGGAAUACGUAGGGCGCAAGCGUUGUCCGGAAUUAUUGGGCGUAAAGAGCUCGUAGGCGGUUUGUCGCGUCUGCUGUGAAAACUCGAGGCUCAACCUCGGGCCUGCAGUGGGUACGGGCAGACUAGAGUGCGGUAGGGGAGACUGGAAUUCCUGGUGUAGCGGUGGAAUGCGCAGAUAUCAGGAGGAACACCGAUGGCGAAGGCAGGUCUCUGGGCCGCAACUGACGCUGAGGAGCGAAAGCAUGGGGAGCGAACAGGAUUAGAUACCCCUGUAGUCCCUGUCUCUUAUAC